UGUGACCUCAAAUCAGGUAGGACUACCCGCUGAACUUAAGCAUAUCAAUAAGCGGAGGAAAAGAAACUAACAAGGAUUCCCCUAGUAACUGCGAGUGAAGCGGGAAAAGCUCAAAUUUAAAAUCUGGCGGUCUUUUGGCUGUCCGAGUUGUAAUCUAGAGAAGUGUUAUCCGCGCUGGACCGUGUACAAGUCUCCUGGAAUGGAGCAUCAUAGAGGGUGAGAAUCCCGUCUUUGACAUGGACUGCCAGGGCUUUGUGAUGCGCUCUCAAAGAGUCGAGUUGUUUGGGAAUGCAGCUCAAAAUGGGUGGUAAAUUCCAUCUAAAGCUAAAUAUUGGCGAGAGACCGAUAGCGAACAAGUACCGUGAGGGAAAGAUGAAAAGAACUUUGGAAAGAGAGUUAAACAGUACGUGAAAUUGCUGAAAGGGAAACGCUUGAAGUCAGUCGCGUCAUCCAGGGAUCAACCUUGCUUUUGCUUGGUGCACUUUCUGGUUUGAUGGGUCAGCAUCAAUUUCG
rnacentral:rRNA from 1 species